rnacentral:rRNA from 1 species
UACGAAGGGGGCUAGCGUUGCUCGGAAUCACUGGGCGUAAAGGGCGCGUAGGCGGCCAUUCAAGUCAGAGGUGAAAGCCCAAGGCUCAACCUUGGAACUGCCUUUGAUACUGUUUGGCUUGAGACCGGUAGAGGUAAGUGGAACUGCGAGUGUAGAGGUGAAAUUCGUAGAUAUUCGCAAGAACACCAGUGGCGAAGGCGGCUCACUGGCCCGAUACUGGCGCUGAGGCACGAAAGCGUGGGGAGCAAACAGG